rnacentral:rRNA from 1 species
AACGAACGCUGGCGGCAGGCCUAACACAUGCAAGUCGAACGCCCCGCAAGGGGAGUGGCAGACGGGUGAGUAACGCGUGGGAACCUUCCCUGUGGUACGGAACAACUGACCGAAAGGUUAGCUAAUACCGUAUACGUCCGAGAGGAGAAAGAUUUAUCGCCAUAGGAUGGGCCCGCGUCGGAUUAGCUAGUUGGUGAGGUAAUGGCUCACCAAGGCGACGAUCCGUAGCUGGUCUGAGAGGAUGAUCAGCCACACUGGGACUGAGACACGGCCCAGACUCCUACGGGAGGCAGCAGUGGGGAAUAUUGGACAAUGGGCGCAAGCCUGAUCCAGCCAUGCCGCGUGAGUGAUGAAGGUCUUCGGAUUGUAAAACUCUUUCGCCGGGGAAGAUAAUGACGGUACCCGGAGAAGAAGCUCCGGCUAACUUCGUGCCAGCAGCCGCCGUAACAC